CCUACGGGAGGCAGCAGUGGGGAAUAUUGCGCAAUGGGCGAAAGCCUGACGCAGCAACGCCGCGUGCGGGAUGACGGCCUUCGGGUUGUAAACCGCUUUCAGCAGGGAAGAAGCCGCAAGGUGACGGUACCUGCAGAAGAAGCACCGGCUAACUACGUGCCAGCAGCCGCGGUAAUACGUAGGGUGCAAGCGUUGUCCGGAUUUAUUGGGCGUAAAGAGCUCGUAGGCGGUUUGUCGCGUCGGGUGUGAAAAUCCAAGGCUCAACCUUGGACCUGCAUCCGAUACGGGCAGACUUGAGUGUGGUAGGGGAGACUGGAACUCCUGGUGUAGCGGUGAAAUGCGCAGAUAUCAGGAAGAACACCGAUGGCGAAGGCAGGUCUCUGGGCCAUAACUGACGCUGAGGAGCAAAAGCGUGGGGAGCAAACAGGAUUAGAUACCCUGGUAGUCCACGCCGUAAACGGUGGGCGCUAGGUGUGGGGAACAUUCCACGUUCUCCGUGCCGCAGCUAACGCAUUAAGCGCCCCGCCUGGGGAGUACGGCCGCAAGGCUAAAACUCAAAGGAAUUGACGG
rnacentral:rRNA from 1 species